rnacentral:lncRNA from 1 species
ACUCCUCCUCAUCUUCCAAUGUGCACUGGAGACUCAAACCACACCAUGACCCUGUUAGCAGCAUAGGGACAUUCCAGAAUGGUCCUCUUCAGUGAUAAAGAGGGAAUGCAUCUGAGGACAAUCCUUGCUAGAGAAGUUGGGAAGAAAGAGUAAACUGAUCAUCAUAAAGUUCUGCUGUCUAGUUCUGCUGCCUUCAUCAACACUACGGCAUCUUUUCCAGAAUGCUAGCCUAUCCUUCA